UAGAAGUAUAGCUUAACCAAAGUCUUUCGCUUACACCGAAAAAAUGUCCGUUAGAUCCGGUCUACUUCAA
rnacentral:tRNA from 1 species